UUCAUUUUCAACUGACUUAUUUGGCCAUACAGUGAAGAGAGGAAGACACCCAAACUAGAAGAUUACAUGUACUUCACGUUUAUGAAAACAUAACAUAUUCUGCUAUUCUGAAUUCCAUAUAUUUUCCUACUUUUUAUUCCUCUUUCAAUUCUGUCCAUUCCUCAAAUUCUGUUCCUUCAUUUGUAAUUCUCUAUCAAAAAGAGAUCUUAUUUGCGUCUAUUAAACGAGAAGCAGAUUGCUUUUCUGUUGAAUACAUGGAGAAGUGUAUCAAUCCCUUAUCUUUAUGGAGCACAUAACUUCCACCAAGUGAAAUUUUGUAUUUCUUGUUUUUUUUUGCAGGACAAACAUUGAGCAUCAAAUCAAAGCACAUAAAAGAUCAUGAAAGACGGAUUCAUCACUUCAUUUCUACUUGUGACUUUUAUAAAAUAGGAUACAAAUAAUUGAGCAAGUAUUCUGAAGUGAAGUACUCUAUUCUCCUUAAAAUGGAGAAUAUGUAUGAGAGGGAAACUAAUGAAUAUAAAAGAAAAGGCAAAGACGAAGGCUAAGAAGGGCGCAUAACGAGAAGGAAUAUAAAAAAGAAUACGCUGCAAUUUUCACAUAUUUAUUUUGUUUUCUUUUCGUUAUUAGUUUCUUUACUUUUAUUUCAUAUUUCUUUUAUUUGAAGAGGAGAAAUUGUAGCAAA